AAGUCGUAACAAGGUAACCGUAGGUGAACCUGCGGUUGGAUCAUUAACAAAUGGUAAGUGGCUGCCUCAAAAGCAGUCUCACUUAUUACCACACAUGUGAACUGUACCUGUACUUGGCAAGUGACGACAAAUCAGCUAGAUUUGUUGGAGUUCAAUUGAUUACCGAUUAGCCUGUAGGUAGGUAGAUCAUGACUACUCAGUUAGAGUUGUUGUGACCCCACCUAUGGUGGUAUACAAUUGAAGCUUGCCGUUAUAAUUGAUACUUAAUCUAUCUGUUUGCUUACUCUUCAGCCUGAUUUCUUAAAAGUAAAAUAUUAGGAAACAACUUUUGGCAACGGAUUUCUUGGCUCUCGCAACGAUGAAGAACGCAGCGAAAUGCGAUACGUAUCAUGAAUUGCAGAACUGUGAAUGAGAAAUGUUUGAACGCACCUUGCGCCAGUCUUUGACUGGCAUGUCUGUCUGAGAAUCUUAAGAGUUCCCUCAGCACGGUUGUUGCUGGCUUUUGGCAGUUUGCCCUCUGGGGUACUUGCUUAAAACACUUAUUAACACUUAGCCGCAGAAAUGUUGUUUGACUUUGACAGACUCAAAGCUUGCAAUCUGUGGGCCUAUAUUCUCAGCUUGGUCUCAGAUCAGACAGGAAGACCCGCUGAACUUAAGCAUAUCAAUAAGCGGAGGAAAAGACACUAACUAGGAUUCCUUUAGUAACGGCGAGUGAAACAGGAACAGCUCAAAUUUGAAAUCUACCGUACGGUCGAAUUGUAGUUUCUAGAUGUGUUUUCGGGCCUGGAGCAAGCCAAAGUCCUCAGGGUUUGGGCAUCACAGAGGGUGACAAUCCCGUGAAUGGUUUGCAUCUAGUGCCUAUGUGAUACACUUUCUACGAGUCAGGUUGUUUGGGAAUGCAGCCUAAAAUGGGUGGUAAAUACCAUCUAAAGCUAAAUAAUGGCGAGAGACCGAUAGCGAACAAGUACCGUGAGGGAAAGAUGAAAAGAACUUUGAAAAGAGAGUUAAAUAGUGCCUGAAAUUGUCAAAAGGGAAGCGCUCAACACCAGUGAUGAGGCUAGAAAUCAGCAGCCUGUAUUGCCUGUGCAUUUUCUAGUUUCAAGUCAACAUCAGUUUGGCUCGCGGGAUAAGGAUUAAGGGAAGAGCCUAGCUCAAUCUUGGCUGAUACCGCGAGCUGAACUGAGGCCUGCUAUUAAAUAUAUAGGAUGUUGACGAAAUGGUUUUGAACGUCC
rnacentral:rRNA from 1 species